CAAGCGUCGUUCCGAACGUGCGCACCUGUUUCGAUUAUCUCGUUUACAUUAUUUUACUUCUCUCGCGUGAUACCUUGAAAAUCUGAUUUGUCGUGACGGCGAUUCUAAAGGAAGUAAAUAAGCAGCAAUACGUCGAGAGGAAGGAAAAAAAAAAAAGAAGAAAAAAAAAAAAAGGAAAAGUGUGUCGUUUACUCUCGUUCGAACGACAUCGAUGAAUAAUACAAGAAAAUAAGAUAUAGAAAGAAAAAGAAGAGAGAAAAGAGGAACGAAAAAAGAACAAAAAAGAGAGAGAGAGAGAAAAAAGAAAAGAAAAAAGGAAAGGAAAGAAAGAGCGUAAAAUCAACGAGAAAAAGUCGGAGUCUCUACUACCAAGUCGAAGGAAGGACAUUUGAAAAUGAUGGAUAUCAGGAUAAUGUUGAUAUUUUUGUUUCUAUUUUGUGUUGUGCCAAGAUCGACCGUCGGUAAAAAUCGUAUGAUCAAUUCAGAUCUUUUCUACUUUCCCGACCAAGCGGAUUAUAUAAGACGAGCCGACAAAUGUCCGGAUAACAUGAUUUUGUGGCUAGGAAAUGGUCAAUGUUACAAAGAAGGUGAAAGAGGACCCUGCAAUGUCGGCCGUGUUUUAGUAAUCGACAAACAAUUUUUGAAACCCUACUGCAAGGAUAUUCUAUAAUGAUUUCUCUAUUGCUGCGAAAGAUGGCAGCACUCAUGAAAAUCUACAGUUAGAUCGUAUGUAGGAAAAUUGUUUUAACAGAAUCGACGCAGAGAUGACAGCACUGUUCGUAUGAAAAACAUUUUCCCGGCGGGAAACUUUGAAUAAAGAGCUUCUCUACGAAUUCGCUGAGUGGCAGCUCCAAUAUAAAUUUUCUUUACACUUCGUGGGACGUACUCGUGAUCGCGCCAUCAUAUCUUUUAUUUAUCUUUUAAAAUGAAUAAGCGAUAAAUUGUUUCGCGUACGAUAAAGAAAAUUUUUUUUCUUUUUUCUUUUAUUUCUUUUUUUCUUAAUUAAAAAAAUUUUGUCAUAAUUACUAAUGGUCUGUUGAGAGCUUUAAUUUGUUACUCUUCCGAUUUGAUCUACUUAAAGCUCACAAUUAUAUAGAAAAGGUAUAAUAUUGAAUAUCGCUAACAAGUUAGAUGAAUAGUGAAGUUUCAGUAUCAGUUGUCUCAUUAUGAAAACUUAUGCAUCUCUAUCGUUUUUUGUAUCGUAAUAUACGACAUUUUAAUUACAGAAGUUGCAAAGCAGCUAUAAACGAAGCCGAGCGUUUGUGCCAAGUUCUGUGAAUUAAACCGUACUAAUUUCAUGUAAUUUCAUUCCAGCACGUCACGUCGCGAAAUAAAAUGUCACUUUGUCUUUUCCCUUUCGUAAAAAUGUAAGCGUGCUCGGCCACGUUUCCGUAUUAUUUCACGCACGUGGCUGUAUUUAAUCGUUUUUAUUUGCGAAUGAAACUGAAGAAAAAGAAAUAAACUGAGAUCAAAGUGUUCAUUUUAUCUCACAUCCUACAUGCA